rnacentral:rRNA from 1 species
AAUUGAACGCUGGCGGCAUGCUUUACACAUGCAAGUCGAACGCGGGUGAGGGGCAACUCUCACCUGAGUGGCGAACGGGUGAGUAAUACAUCGGAACGUGUCCCGUAGUGGGGGAUAACCCGGCGAAAGCCGGACUAAUACCGCAUAUGCUCUACGGAGGAAAGUGGGGGACCCGCAAGGGCCUCAUGCUAUGGGAGCGGCCGAUGUCCGAUUAGCUUGUUGGCGGGGUAAAGGCCCACCAAGGCGACGAUCGGUAGCUGGUCUGAGAGGAUGAUCAGCCACACUGGGACUGAGACACGGCCCAGACUCCUACGGGAGGCAGCAGUGGGGAAUUUUGGACAAUGGGGGCAACCCUGAUCCAGCCAUGCCGCGUGAGUUAAGAAAGCCUUCGGGUUGUAAAGCUCUUUUGGCCGGAAAGAAAAGGCUACGGAUUACACC